rnacentral:rRNA from 1 species
UACGGAGGGUGCAAGCGUUAAUCGGAAUUACUGGGCGUAAAGCGCGCGUAGGCGGCUUGUUAAGCUAGAUGUGAAAGCCCCGGGCUCAACCUGGGAACUGCAUUUAGAACUGGCGGGCUAGAGUAUGGCAGAGGAGUGUGGAAUUUCCGGUGUAGCGGUGAAAUGCGUAGAGAUCGGAAGGAACAUCAGUGGCGAAGGCGACACUCUGGGCUAAUACUGACGCUGAGGUGCGAAAGCGUGGGGAGCAAACAGG